UACGAAGGGGGCUAGCGUUGUUCGGAAUCACUGGGCGUAAAGCGCACGUAGGCGGAUCUUUAAGUCAGGGGUGAAAUCCCGAGGCUCAACCUCGGAACUGCCUUUGAUACUGGGGAUCUCGAGUCCGGGAGAGGUGAGUGGAACUCCUAGUGUAGAGGUGGAAUUCGUAGAUAUUAGGAAGAACACCAGUGGCGAAGGCGGCUCACUGGUCCGGUACUGACGCUGAGGUGCGAAAGCGUGGGGAGCAAACAGG
rnacentral:rRNA from 1 species